CGUUAAGUUAUCUGCAGAAUCUUGGCGGAAUAUCUUGGGGAAGAUAAAAUGCUGGGUCUAAAAUUUAUAUAUCUUUUGAUACUGCAAGUUCCCUUGAGAAAUAUAAUCUAAAGGGAGAAAUUGAUUAUGAGCGUGCUUUACAUGCUGAAGCGGCUGUUCGUGGAAAAGCUAUUAGUAAGCGUUUCCAUGUUAUCUGCUUUGAAGAUAUAAGGCCUUACACUGGGUGGUUGCAUAGGAAUGAUUCUAAGGCAAGCAUUGCAAACGGGGUAACUCCAGAAGGUUUUAUAGGUAAUGCUGUUAACAUGGUUGACCUGGACAUAAAUUACUUGCAGAUUAUGACAGCCUCAGGUUUUGGAUAACGGGAAACAGUGUUAUUUAAUCUUUUCAAGAAGCUUCAGGUUUACGAAACAAGAGAGAGUAUGGUGGCUGCCCGAACCUGUAUAGAGGAUGGUGCUGUUUCGUUAGAUGGUGGCAUUUUAAGUGAAAAUGGAAUUCUCUCCCUUGGUUACCGAAGGUACUCCCUCAGGAAAUUGAAGAAAUCUUGGCACAGAUUGAAGAGAAGAAGUCAGAUCUAAGGAUGAUUGAAGAAAGAAACAAAGGACUGGAACAAGAUCACGCCAAGAAUAUAAAGAAAUUUAACAAAAAGAAGGAAACAUACGAGAAGUUUACGGAUAGAAUGAAGCCUAUGACUGAACUUUUGCUGUAUUUCUGAGGAGACUGGUUUUCUUUGCUGUCCUUUUAUUUAUAUAGAAUGUACAGUACAGGACGUGAGUUAUCAGAAUCGGAGUCUUUCUUCAAGUUUCAUAGUGUUGUUGCUCUCAAAACGUGUUGAACAUUACCUGGAUUGGGUCAUCAUCACAUCCGUUCUUGGUCAACUUGAAUGGUUUAAGAUGUAAACUCAAAUGCUACCGAUAUUGUACAUAUAAGGCUUGAAAAUUUGAACCUUAGUGGCAUAAUCGAUGCAGAUUCCCUAUGCAGGCCCCAAAAGUUAAGAGUGAUGAGCUUGGCUAAGAACAACAUUAGAGGAACUAUUUCACACUCAAUUUUGCGUUGUACGAGGUUGACACAUUCAAAUGUAACUAGAAACCAAUCGAGCAGGAGGUUGCCAAAUAAAAUGGAGACAUCUUAAGGACUUGGACAUCUCUUGUACAAUUUUUCUGGUAUGAUCCCGAGUAAACCACGAUAAGACAAGAAAACUUGGUAUUUGAAGGAUGAAAGCUUGGUGCCAUUAGUUAUGGGAACUGGAUUGCUUUUGCCAUCCCUUUACUUUAUGGUAAAGAAGUCAGCAAAGUUAAAUGCAUUGAAAGAGGUAGUUAAAGAGCAUCAUCAUAUGUCUCCAAUAAAAAAAAAAAAAGGCCAUAACUCGCAAAAUGUAAAAAGAAAUUUGAAAGCAGUAUAGAGGAAGAGUAGAAAAACAGAAGAGAAUGUUAUUUUGGUACAUGGCUUGUUACUCUACUGAAUAAGGCCUUCUAUAGAAUAAAAAGAAGUUGCCGGAAGAAAAAAAUCAGAUUGGGUUUCACUCGUUGGCUUUGUCUAACCAAGUCACGAACCAACAGUAACCGACGAAACAACCACUUCUGUUUCCUGCUUCUUGUACUUUUUCAGCAACCAUAUACUAAACAUACAAAAUGUGCCACCAUGAUCUCACAGCUACCUCCUUUUUUAUUCUUUUUCUUCUGUAAGAAAAGUGUACACAAUAAUUUGAAACCUUCAGUGCAAGGAUCAUGUAAUUUCGUUACA